CCUUCCUUCCCCUAUUCGUAGCUGGAAAUACCAUUUUUUUUUGUCUGAGCCCUCAUUCCAUGGGAUUUUAAAUCUUCUUGGAGGCGCCUAGAUACCAAGUGAAACUCCCAUUAUGAAAUUCACUUCGGGGAUGAAGAGGCUCAUACAUCUCUAAUUGCCACGGUAGCGCCUAAGCUAUCAAGGCUAGUUAAUGAUCAGGCAUUGUAUGAUACUGGAAUCAGUCUGUACUCUUCUCAGGAUC
rnacentral:lncRNA from 1 species